GUAUAUGGAUCGCCAGGUGUAUCAGUAAUCUUAACUCUGAGUGAUUUUCUACCAGAUUAUGGAACAGUCGGCUUCGAGUUUGCCAUAACGAGCAUUUGUAAUCUUUGCAAAAGUGUUGAGGAAGAGGAUACUGUUGCAAUCGAAGAAACUGCUAAACCACCGACUCCAUCUGUGAAAUUGAAUAAACAAUUACAGGAUGUGCAACAAGUAGGUGAGCCGAAAUCAAAACGUCAAGGUCAAAUCAGAAGCAGAAUAAAGAGUUAAAGAGCUGACAGUGGGUAAUGGCGUCAUUUAAAAUACAGUUGUUGCGAGGAGGAAUGGUAUCCUGCUACAAACGAAAGCAUUUUACAAACAAGUA
rnacentral:lncRNA from 1 species